rnacentral:lncRNA from 1 species
AUUGUCUGAGCCUCCGUGAGGAAACAGCCGUGGAAGCAAAAGCAGAGGCGAGAAGGACUUGGGGAGAUGGAGGCGGAAAGGAGGGGGAGGAGGUUAGCGGACGAGGCAACGAUGAACUUUAAGGACAAGAUGCCAAGAGGACGGAGGAGGGGCUGCCGUGCCAGAAGAGUGCUGCCCCCUGUCCCCAGCACCAUUCAAGCUUAGGGCCUGGGGAGGCAGGUCCUUUCCUGCUCCAGCCUUGAGAUGACCAAGGCCCCAGCCAACACCUUGAUGGCCGCCUGUGAGAGACCCAGAGCCGAGGACCCAACAGAGGCCCAGGCUGCAGCUGACAUGCUCCGGAGUCCUUCCAUCUGCCACGGGGAAUGGACAAAGUGUUCCUCCAACCCCUCGGGGUGGCCUAGGGGCCCUCAAGGACCCCAGAAGGGGAGUCUGAGGCCAGAGUGAGAACCGGGAUGCCUUUGAACUAGCUCUUUGGCCCCUCUCUCUCUCUUUCUCAGUGCCCUCAACAAUAACACCUGCUCUCAUGCUUCCAGGGCACUGUGGGCGAGGUGAGGACUCCGGUGUGAAAGUGCGACUGCCAGAGCCUGGCUGUUGUUACUACUACCCAUGGGGGGGCCCUGCCCGCACCUCCCACCCCUCCACCGUGUCCCGAGCCACAAGGCAGAGUGACUGCCUCUCUUCAGCCACAGUCCCUGGGUUAUUCAACAGCGGCUACCAGGACAGGCAGCCAAGGCCCUAAAGAAAGGGAGAGUAAUGCUAGGAGGGAAACAGGACAUGGCAGGCAGCACCCUCUCCCCAGACUGGCAUCCAUUGCCACUGCUUCCUGGGGGCCCUGUAGCCUGGUGGCCCCAUACCCUGGCCCUCAUACUCUAGCCCAGCCUCAGCAUCUCAGGCCACCUCCCCACUCCACCUUGCGGUUAACAACAACAGUCAAACCACUGACCUGAUUUUCUGCAGAGAGGAAAAGAUAAUAGGGCACCUCGGUGCAUGUUCGCAUGCACACACACACAAACACAGACACACACACACAUGCACACACAUACAUGCAUGCACACAGACAUG